GAGUAAUGUCUGGGAAACUGCCUGAUGGAGGGGGAUAACUACUGGAAACGGUAGCUAAUACCGCAUAACGUCGCAAGACCAAAGAGGGGGACCUUCGGGCCUCUUGCCAUCGGAUGUGCCCAGAUGGGAUUAGCUAGUAGGUGGGGUAACGGCUCACCUAGGCGACGAUCCCUAGCUGGUCUGAGAGGAUGACCAGCCACACUGGAACUGAGACACGGUCCAGACUCCUACGGGAGGCAGCAGUGGGGAAUAUUGCACAAUGGGCGCAAGCCUGAUGCAGCCAUGCCGCGUGUAUGAAGAAGGCCUUCGGGUUGUAAAGUACUUUCAGCGGGGAGGAAGGGAGUAAAGUUAAUACCUUUGCUCAUUG
rnacentral:rRNA from 1 species